GUGGCUACCACGUAGGUGGUCAUGUGCGUGUGCUGUAAUCACUAAUAAAGUGAGUGUAUCAAAACCUCAUCACAGUUGGGAUCUUGGGUCUCUCUAUGGUCAGUUUCAGAUUGGUCUGCUGGUUCCGCUCAGUGUGUGGCACUGGGGGUCUGAAACCAGCCUAAAUUGGUGUGAUUCACACUGCAGGCCGGAUAGAAGCCAAAAACAACAGGCAUUCUCUGAAGCACAGAGCCGGGAAUCAGCUGUGAGUGCUUUUGCUGAAGCUGAAGCUGAAUGCUUCCAUUAGAAGGAGUAUGGCCACAGUUAAGCAGGUGAACCCGGGUUAAUCCAGGUGAAGAUCUGAGGUGGUCUAUUCUAUGGUGUCCUGACCUUCAAAAAACAGAGUAAAACAAGGCACAGAUAGACUACAGUUGUACCACAGCUCUUUUUAUAAAUUAUAUAAAUAUAUAAAUAUAUAUAAUUUGAUCUGAAG
rnacentral:lncRNA from 1 species